rnacentral:lncRNA from 1 species
AAAAAUUAAAAAAACAAAGUAUUUCACCACAAUUGAUUAAUAUGACCAUGAUGAUAGGUAGAGCGCCAUUUAUUAUAUAUCAUGAUAUGACUGAGAGUUGAAUUCACGAUCUUUAUAUAUUUCACCAUGGUUGUUUAAGAUAAUUGUUAUCAUAGAUAAUGUGCGACAUAGUUUAUCAUUACAGUCACACGCCUGUGGUGGAAAACAAC